UAGAGUUUGAUCAUGGCUCAGAUUGAACGCUGGCGGCAGGCCUAACACAUGCAAGUCGAGCGGUAACAUUUCAAAAGCUUGCUUUUGAAGAUGACGAGCGGCGGACGGGUGAGUAAUGCCUAGGAAAUUGCCCUGAUGUGGGGGAUAACCAUUGGAAACGAUGGCUAAUACCGCAUGAUAGCUACGGCUCAAAGAGGGGGACCUUCGGGCCUCUCGCGUCAGGAUAUGCCUAGGUGGGAUUAGCUAGUUGGUGAGGUAAGGGCUCACCAAGGCGACGGUCCCUAGCUGGUCUGAGAGGAUGAUCAGCCACACUGGAACUGAGACACGGUCCAGACUCCUACGGGAGGCAGCAGUGGGGAAUAUUGCACAAUGGGCGCAAGCCUGAUGCAGCCAUGCCGCGUGUGUGAAGAAGGCCUUCGGGUUGUAAAGCACUUUCAGUCGUGAGGAAGGCAGUUGCGUUAAUAGCGUAAUUGUUUGACGUUAGCGACAGAAGAAGCACCGGCUAACUCCGUGCCAGCAGCCGCGGUAAUACGGAGGGUGCGAGCGUUAAUCGGAAUUACUGGGCGUAAAGCGCAUGCAGGUGGUUAGUUAAGUCAGAUGUGAAAGCCCGGGGCUCAACCUCGGAAUAGCAUUUGAAACUGGCUGACU
rnacentral:rRNA from 1 species